UUAAAAANCUCGUAGUUGAAUUUCGGGAUCAAUACGUCGGUCAUGCUUUUUGGUACGAACUGGCGUCAUUGGUUUCUCCUUUCUGACGAACCAUGAUGUCAUUAAUUUGGUGUUAUGGAAAGUUGGGACUGUUACUUUGAAAAAAUUAGAGUGUUUAAAGCAGGCAUAAGCUUGAAUACAUUAGCAUGGAAUAAUGAAAUAGGACGUUUGAUCCUAUUUUGUUGGUUUCUAGGAUCAACGUAAUGAUUAAUAGGGAUAGUUGGGGG
rnacentral:rRNA from 1 species